AAUCACGCUCGGCCUUCUCCUCUCCCGGGCGGCGCUCUCCCUGUGGCGGGGACCUGGGACGAGGGGGUGGGGUGGGGAGGGGAAGGCAGGAGGGGGCUGCCCUUCCGUUGCCCAUGCUAAAGGUUCCUGUGUAGGAAGCUGGACGCAGCCUGCUGGACUAGUAAUCUUCCUCCUCGCUGGGGCGCGGGGCACUGAAGGGAGGGAGAGACUUUCUCCUCCUUCCUGUUCCCCGGGACAGCUGUGCUCUCCGAAUCCUUCCCUUCUUCCCAGCCCACUUAUUCCCCGCUCGCCAAGCAUCUUCAACUAAAGAUGUCAAAGCACAAGCUCACUUCCCACGGAAGGUAGCAAUUACUAUUAUCUACUUGACAGCUACAAGAACCUAGGCACAGAGGUUAAGUGCUCUGCAAAUACUACCAGCCAGUGGUGGUUUUCCUGCCAGAACCAAGUUCUUGCCUUCCAGUGGACACCAUUGAUCUCUCAAGAUGAUUCUUUAAGUUAAAAAGAAAUGUGAAAUCUCUUAGGCCAAGAAGAACAACCUGAGGACUCUCUUUCUGGAGGUAAUUGAACU
rnacentral:lncRNA from 1 species